rnacentral:lncRNA from 1 species
UGCGUCGCGGCCUGCUGAUAGUUCACCGCCGCUACCUCCACGGCCACCGCCGCCGCCGCCAUCGCCUUCCCCACCGUCGCCAUCGCCUCCCUCGCCCUCACCUCCCUCGCCCUCACCUCCCUCGCCUUCACCUCCCUCGCCCCGACCUCCCUCGCCCCGACCUCCCUCGCCCUCACCUCCCUCGCCUUCACCUCCCUCGCCCCGACCUCCCUCGCCCCGACCACCCUCGCCGCCGCCUCCCUCGCCCCCGCCUCCCUCGCCCCCGCCUCCCUCGC